rnacentral:rRNA from 1 species
UACGGAGGAUGCGAGCGUUAUCCGGAUUUAUUGGGUUUAAAGGGCGCGCAGGCGGCACGGCAAGCCGGCGGUCAAAUCGCGGGGCUCAACCCCGCCCAGCCGUCGGAACUGCCGGGCUAGAGUGGGCGAGAAGUGCGCGGAAUGCGUGGUGUAGCGGUGAAAUGCAUAGAUAUCACGCAGAACUCCGAUUGCGAAGGCAGCGCACCGGCGCCCUACUGACGCUCAGGCACGAAAGCGUGGGUAUCGAACAGG